GUGUGCUUCAGCCGCACAUAUGCUAAAACUGGAACAAUACAGAGAUUAGCAUGGCCCCUGCUCCAGGAUGACACGCAAGUCCAUGAAGCGUUUCAUAUUUUU